UCUUUCUUUCUUUCUUUCUUUCUUCUUUUUUUUCUCUUUUUUUUUUUUCUUCGUACCAUACGGUUUGUCUGUUGUAUCUAUGUAUAUCCGUCGCUUUUUCACAUUCGAUCUAUAUCGCGCGCACACUUUUUUAAUAACUAUUCUAAUUCCCGUCAUUGUUGCCGUGACAAUCAAGCGACUUUUUAACUCGUUCUACGUAUUCGGAAGUAGCCGAAACAACAACAACAACAACAUCAACAACAACAACCAGAACCACAACAAAACACAAAAACCACGAUAACAACAACAGUAAAAAGAAAAGAAAAAAAAAAAGUAAGAAAAAGAAAAUAGAAAAGAUUAAUUCUAAUGAUCGUUGAUCAACCAAUCGUCUUCUUCGUAAACUAUCUUUAAUCCAUAUGUAUAUAUAUAUAUAAAGAGAGAGAGAGAGAGAGAGAGAGACUUUCUCGAUAAAAGAAAAACGAAAAGAAAAAAAAAGAAAAAAAAGAAAAAAAGAAGAAAGAAAAUCAAUUGAAAAUUUCUUCCUCUUAACGAUUAACAUAUCGUGUCUCAUUCACUUUAUCAAAUUAGCUAUAGCGAAGGGCCUAUAUUGUCACUGUUAUUGUCAAUACUUUCGCUAAAAUAAUAAUUAUUCUCAACGGGGCACUGACAACGUUACAACAAUAAUUAUUCUCUAAUAAUGUCACAUCUAAUGUUAGCCGAACGUUUCAGCCCCUGUAGAAUGUUUACCCUUUUUACCUGUAUGCAUGUUAUAUGAUAACGGAUCUAAACGAAAAAGAAAAAAAAAAAAAAAAAGAAAAAA